CGGGCGACCGGCGCACGGUGAGUAACGCGUAUGCAACUUACCUAUCAGAGGGGGGUAACCGGGCGAAAGUCGGACUAAUACCGCAUGAAGCAGGGGCCCCGCAUGGGGAUAUUUGCUAAAGAUUCAUCGCUGAUAGAUAGGCAUGCGUUCCAUUAGGCAGUUGGCGGGGUAACGGCCCACCAAACCGACGAUGGAUAGGGGUUCUGAGAGGAAGGUCCCCCACAUUGGUACUGAGACACGGACCAA
rnacentral:rRNA from 1 species